AUUGAACGCUGGCGGAAUGCUUUACACAUGCAAGUCGAACGGCAGCACGGACUUCGGUCUGGUGGCGAGUGGCGAACGGGUGAGUAAUACAUCGGAACGUGCCCAGUCGUGGGGGAUAACGUAGCGAAAGCUAAGCUAAUACCGCAUACGAUCUAAGGAUGAAAGCGGGGGACCGUAAGGCCUCGCGCGAUUGGAACGGCCGAUAGCAGAUUAGGUAGUUGGUGGGGUAAAGGCUCACCAAGCCGACGAUCUGUAGCUGGUCUGAGAGGACGACCAGCCACACUGGGACUGAGACACGGCCCAGACUCCUACGGGAGGCAGCAGUGGGGAAUUUUGGACAAUGGGCGCAAGCCUGAUCCAGCCAUUCCGCGUGCAGGAUGAAGGCCCUCGGGUUGUAAACUGCUUUUGUACGGAACGAAAAGGCUCUGGUUAAUACCUGGGGCUCAUGACGGUACCGUAAGAAUAAGCACCGGCUAACUACGUGCCAGCCGCCGCAGUAA
rnacentral:rRNA from 1 species